AUGACCUGGGAUCCUCUCCUUCUCACCUUCCUUAUUUACUGCUCAGGGUCUUUGGCUCAGUCUGUCCCGACUCAGCCACCUGCAAUGUCCAAGUCUGUUGGGGAGACAGUCACAAUCUCCUGCACUGCAAGCAGCAAUAAUGUUGGACGUGGAUAUCCACACUGGUACCAGCAGCUCUCUGGUAGUGCUCCAAGAACACUUAUCUACGAUGCUGAUAAGAGACCAUCAGGGAUCCCAGACCGAUUCUCAGGCUCCAGGUCAGGGAACACAGCCUCCCUGAGCAUCUCUGGGCUCCAGUCUGAGGACGAGGCUUAUUAUUACUGCUCAUCCUGGGACAACAACAUUAAAGCUGACACAGUGUUCCAGGCCAGUGGGGAAGGUAUUUAUCCUAACCAGCCUGUGCUGACUCAGCAGACUUCUGCAUCAGUCUUCUUGGGACAAGCAGCCAAGCUCACCUAUGUUGAGUAUUACCAGCAAAGCUUGGGGAAGGACCCCAAAAUUUGUGACAUGAGUGAUAAACAGUAG